GAUGACCAUAGCGAGGUGGUCCCACUCCUUCCCAUCCCGAACAGGACAGUGAAACGCCUCUGCGCCAAUGAUAGUGCGGGUUCCCGUGUGAAAGUAGGACAUCGUC
rnacentral:rRNA from 1 species